GCUCGUAGCGGAGGAAGAGAUAACAUGACACCUUAGUAGCGGCGAGCGAAGUGGGUAAAGCUCAAGUUUAAAACCUGUUUGUCCUAGACAAACCGGAUUGUAAACUAAGGACGUGCUAUCCAGGCUCUUUGGACCUUCAAGUCCUUUGGAAUAAGGCUUCACAGAGGGUGACAAUCCCGUAGAGGGUCUUGAAAGAGUCUAUUGCGAUGCAUGCUCCAAGAGUCAGGUUGUUUGGGAAUGCAGCCUAAAGUGGGAGGUAAAUCCCUCCUAAAGCUAAAUAUUGGCGAGAGACCGAUAGCAAACAAGUACCGUGAGGGAAAGUUGAAAAGGACUUUGAAAAGAGAGUCAAAAGUACGUGAAAUUGCUUAAAGGGAAGCGUUUGGAGCUAGUUUGGCUAGUCUGUUAUCAGCCUGAGCUUCGGCUUUGGUGUACUAUCAGGCUAUUUGCCGGCCAACUUUCAGGAUUGGAAGGAAAGCUUAGUGCUUUGGAGUCUAAAGAGACCUUUGCGGAAGCCUCUGGUGGAGCGUUGGUCUGCCUUGGCCCUUCUGAGCCUAUAGUUGGCUUAUGCUCUAAACGGCCCGUCUUGAAACGGGUCCAACGCAUUAACCACUAUAGUCAAGGCA
rnacentral:rRNA from 1 species